rnacentral:lncRNA from 11 species
GAAAGCUGUCUUCCACGACGGGUGGAAUAUGUCAGUCGAAGAUGGGUUCAAAUGGCGGUUUGGACAAACAUGAGAAGACGACUUCCAAACUCCAAGCUGGAGUGGGAGGUGUCACAGGAGGCUGGACAUUCCUAUAACCCUUGAUAAAGAGUUGUACCAAUGGGUCUGAUAAACAAGAAGGGUGUCCUCUUCACUCCAAGGUACCUGCCACUGCAGAGUUGUUUAUGAUCCACUCAUAAUACUUUCAUGAGAAAAUUACCUGUGUUUUCUUUUUAGGGUUGGCCCAGACAUUUACACCGACAUUGACUUGAAUAGCAACAUCUAUGAUCCAGCUUACAAUUACUCCGUUGAAAUCCGGGAACUGGUGUUAACACCAUGUGCAACUCUUCUCUUAAAGGUCUCCUUAAAUGAUGGUGCUCAUCAGCUUCGCAUUUUUCACAACAGUCCCUGCCCAGACCAGCCUUUUUCUACCCUUUCUUUGACCUCAAAAGGACGGUAAGGACUUCCAGACUUAUAUCCCUUCCCUGUCCCACUUCAUCAUCACAUUUUGGAUUUAAUAUAUCUUCCCUACAGAUAUGUGCCUUGUGCAACCCUACUGGUGCGGCUUCUCAAGGCUCCUGUAGAUUCCAGUCAUCACACUUUGCAAAGAACCAUGAUUCCUCAAACACAGUGGGUCCAGCUGGGCCUCUUCCAACUCAGGCCUGAUUAUUCUGAUGGCGUUUAUUACUCAGACUCAGCCAGACCUACUCCAGGAGAAAGUUGCCUCUAUGAGGCUAUGAUGAUGAGGUCAGUUGUUUCAGUUCGAGAGAUUAUUCAACAGCUUGUUGGACAUAAGAAGAGCUUGAACACAGAUGAGGAAAUCUUGACCUGGAUCCACAAGAAACUAAAACGGGAACCAGACAGUAGGCCACAGUCCUUCAACCUCACCUACAUCUCCAGAUACAUCCCAACAUAUGGCAUCAAGGUGAAUGGCAAUGCCCCGGCUAGCAAGAGCAAUUUUGUAGGAGACUAAAAUUAUGCAAACAUGGGUUUGGGUAUAAGACAAAUUAAGAUCUUCUGAUAUAUUUAUGCAUAAAUAUGCAUAAAGUCAAUGUGUUACUAUACAACAUUUCAAGCAAGUCUCUAAAUCAGUAUUUGGUGCUUCCAUUAUAUUAUUUAACUGCAAAUCUCAUCUUGUGUCUCUACUGACUAAACUGGCCACAGAUAGUGGGAGUGAUAACUCCAAAAACAUUUGGACACCAUAUUUUCGACCCAAACCCUAAAUAUUCAUUUCAACAGGGCUGAUACCUUAUGGCGAAUCUGAGGUAAGGCCUGAACUUGAAAACAGCAUCCAGCUUUUAAAAAAAAUAUUUUUAAAAAACAAUUAACACAAAAAAACACACAAAAAACAACAACAUAAAACAUAAACCCAUCUCCGAGAUUACACAGAAAGAAAGUAGGUAAGGACAGGGAAAAGGAUGGGACAAACACUGUUUGGGAUGGGAUUGUGGUGGGGAAAGAAACAUUGACUCCAGUCAAAUAGGGAAAUUUGCCUAGAGUGAGAGGACGAUAUAACCUAAGGUAUAUUUACCUUACACCCGACAGAAAAUGUGUAAGCUGCUCCUGGAAAAAGAGAGAAAAAGAAGAAAAAAGGAAAAAAAUUAAAAAAGAAGGAAGAAAAUAAUGAUAAUAAUGAUAAAAAUGACUUCCAUCUAUUGUAUAGCAUCCAGUUUUUAUAUUUGGCUAUGUACCUUUGUCCUCGACUGCAGCUUUAUCUGCAAUACAGUAGAGUCUCGCUUAUCAAACCUUCGCUCACCCGACUUUCUGUAUUAUCCAACGCAACCAGCAGGCCUCUCUGUGCACUGGGCGCCUGCUGGGAGAGGUGAGAAGCUGCUGGCGCAGACUUUUCCCAUUGGGCACAGAGUCCGGCCUAUUACCCAUUACCAGAAUAUUUAUAUCCUAAGCACUCAAAAUCGGCAGUGGGAAAGUAGAUGAGAUUAAAACUAUGCUCACAAAGUGGGACUGAACCUCAAGAAAAACUGCAAGUUAAUACUGCUUUAAUAUACCACAUCUCUCCAUAUCUGACUAUUUAUAGUUCCAGAGGCUCCAAAGGGGAAUAGGAAAUACCACUCUACAGGAGAGUAAUGUGAACAUGACCAAAUCACUUUUAUUUACAUUAUUACAGCACAUUCUGUUAUUUUCAUAUUAAUUUCAUAUAAUGAAACCAAAGAACUACACAAAUUACAAACUAAAGACAAAACAUAUCACAAGGAAUUCAACCAGUUCUUCUCACAAGCAGGAUGAGCAACAUCCAAUUUACAAAAUUC